AGAGUUUGAUCCUGGCUCAGGAUGAACGCUAGCUACAGGCUUAACACAUGCAAGUCGAGGGGCAGCAUUGGAGUAGCAAUACUUCAGAUGACGACCGGCGCACGGGUGAGUAACACGUAUCCAACCUGCCGCUUACUCGGGGAUAGCCUUUCGAAAGAAAGAUUAAUACCCGAUGGUAUAAAGAGUUCGCAUGUUCUCUUUAUUAAAGAAUUUCGGUAAGCGAUGGGGAUGCGUUCCAUUAGAUUGUUGGCGGGGUAACGGCCCACCAAGUCUACGAUGGAUAGGGGUUCUGAGAGGAAGGUCCCCCACAUUGGAACUGAGACACGGUCCAAACUCCUACGGGAGGCAGCAGUGAGGAAUAUUGGUCAAUGGACGAGAGUCUGAACCAGCCAAGUAGCGUGAAGGAUGACUGCCCUAUGGGUUGUAAACUUCUUUUAUAAGGGAAUAAAGUGAGGGACGUGUCCCUUUUUGUAUGUACCUUAUGAAUAAGGAUCGGCUAACUCCGUGCCAGCAGCCGCGGUAAUACGGAGGAUCCGAGCGUUAUCCGGAUUUAUUGGGUUUAAAGGGAGCGUAGGUUGACGUAUAAGUCAGCUGUGAAAGUUUACGGCUCAACCGUGAAAUUGCAGUUGAUACCGUAUGUCUUGAGUGUACAAGAGGUGGGCGGAAUUCGUGGUGUAGCGGUGAAAUGCUUAGAUAUCACGAAGAACUCCAAUUGCGAAGGCAGCUCACUGGGGUACAACUGACACUGAGGCUCGAAAGUGUGGGUAUCAAACAGGAUUAGAUACCCUGGUAGUCCACACAGUAAACGAUGAAUACUCGCUGUUUGCGAUAUACAGUAAGCGGCCAAGCGAAAGCAUUAAGUAUUCCACCUGGGGAGUACGCCGGCAACGGUGAAACUCAAAGGAAUUGACGGGGGCCCGCACAAGCGGAGGAACAUGUGGUUUAAUUCGAUGAUACGCGAGGAACCUUACCCGGGCUUGAAUUGCAAAGGAACUUAUUUGAAAGAUUAUGGCCGCAAGGUCUCUGUGAAGUGCUGCAUGUUUGUCUCCACUCUGGCCUGGAGGUUCCGCUUAAUUGCCAAUACAAGCGCACCCUUAU
rnacentral:rRNA from 1 species